rnacentral:rRNA from 1 species
AUUGAACGCUGGCGGCAUGCCUUACACAUGCAAGUCGAACGUUAACAGGUCUUCGGAUGCUGACGAGUGGCGAACGGGUGAGUAAUACAUCGGAACGUGCCCAGUAAUGGGGGGUAGCUCGGCGAAAGCCGGAUUAAUACCGCAUACGCCCUGAGGGGGAAGGUGGGGGAUCGCAAGACCUCACGUUAUUGGAGCGGCCGAUGGCUGAUUAGCUAGUUGGUAGGGUAAAGGCCUACCAAGGCGACGAUCAGUAGCUGGUCUGAGAGGACGAUCAGCCACACUGGGACUGAGACACGGCCCAGACUCCUACGGGAGGCAGCAGUGGGGAAUUUUGGACAAUGGGGGAAACCCUGAUCCAGCAAUGCCGCGUGUGCGAAGAAGGCCUUCGGGUUGUAAAGCACUUUUGUCAGGGAAGAAAUCCUUUGGGCUAAUACCCUAGGGGGAUGACGGUACCUGAAGAAUAAGCACCGGCUAACUACGUGCCAGCAGCCGCGGUAAUACGUAGGGUGCAAGUGUUAAUCGGAAUUACUGGGCGUAAAGCGUGCGCAGGCGGUUGUGUAAGACAGGUGUGAAAUCCCCGGGCUUAACCUGGGAAUUGCAUUUGUGACCUGCCGACUAGAGUGUGUCAGAGGGGGGGUGGAAUUCCACGUUUAGCAGUGAAAUGCGUAGAUAUGGGGAGGAACACCAAUGGGGGAAGGCACCCCCCCUUGGGAUAACAUUGCCGUUCAUGCAGGAAAGGGUGGGGAGCAAAACAGGGUUAGAUACCCUGGUAGUCCACGCCCUAAACGAUGUCAACUAGUUGUUGGGGAUUUACUUCCUUGGUAACGUAGCUAACGCGUGAAGUUGACCGCCUGGGGAGUACGGCCGCAAGGUUAAAACUCAAAGGAAUUGACGGGGACCCGCACAAGCGGUGGAUGAUGUGGAUUAAUUCGAUGCAACGCGAAAAACCUUACCUACCCUUGACAUGGCAGGAACUUUCCAGAGAUGGAUUGGUGCUCGAAAGAGAACCUGCACACAGGUGCUGCAUGGCUGUCGUCAGCUCGUGUCGUGAGAUGUUGGGUUAAGUCCCGCAACGAGCGCAACCCUUGUCAUUAGUUGCUACGAAAGGGCACUCUAAUGAGACUGCCGGUGACAAACCGGAGGAAGGUGGGGAUGACGUCAAGUCCUCAUGGCCCUUAUGGGUAGGGCUUCACACGUCAUACAAUGGUCGGUACAGAGGGUUGCCAAGCCGCGAGGUGGAGCCAAUCCCAGAAAACCGAUCGUAGUCCGGAUCGCAGUCUGCAACUCGACUGCGUGAAGUCGGAAUCGCUAGUAAUCGCGGAUCAGAAUGCCGCGGUGAAUACGUUCCCGGGUCUUGUACACACCGCCCGUCACACCAUGGGAGUGGGUUCUAC